UACAGAGGGGGCAAGCGUUGUUCGGAAUUACUGGGCGUAAAGGGCGCGUAGGUGGCCUUCUUAGUCGAACGUGAAAUCCCCGGGCUCAACCCGGGAACUGCGUCCGAUACUGGAAGGCUUGAAUCCGGGAGAGGGAUGCGGAAUUCCAGGUGUAGCGGUGAAAUGCGUAGAUAUCUGGAGGAACACCGGUGGCGAAGGCGGCAUCCUGGACCGGCAUUGACGCUGAGGCGCGAAAGCCAGGGGAGCAAACGGG
rnacentral:rRNA from 1 species